rnacentral:rRNA from 1 species
GAGUCAGUAAAGUUGGUCGUGCCACUGGUAUGUACUGGCUUUACUGGUUCCUCCUUCUUGAAGAACUGUGGUGUCAUUUACUUGGUGUUGCAGGGAAACAGGACUGUUACUUUGAAAAAUUAGAGUGUUUAAAGCAGGCUAACGCUUGAAUACAUUAGCAUGGAAUAAUGAAAUAGGACGUUUGAUCCUAUUUUGUUGGUUUCUAGGAUUGACGUAAUGAUUAAUAGGGAUAGUUGGGC